AUCUAUACAUGCAGUCGAGCGAAUCAAUAGGAGCUUGCUCCUGUUGGUUAGCGGCGGACGGGUGAGUAACACGUGGGCAACCUGCCUGUAAGACUGGGAUAACACCGGGAAACCGGUGCUAAUACCGGAUAAUCCUUUUCCUCUCAUGAGGAAAAGCUGAAAGUCGGUUUCGGCUGACACUUACAGAUGGGCCCGCGGCGCAUUAGCUAGUUGGUGAGGUAACGGCUCACCAAGGCGACGAUGCGUAGCCGACCUGAGAGGGUGAUCGGCCACACUGGGACUGAGACACGGCCCAGACUCCUACGGGAGGCAGCAGUAGGGAAUCUUCCACAAUGGACGAAAGUCUGAUGGAGCAACGCCGCGUGAGCGAUGAAGGCCUUCGGGUCGUAAAGCUCUGUUGUUAGGGAAGAACAAGUACCGGAGUAACUGCCGGUACCUUGACGGUACCUAACCAGAAAGCCACGGCUAACUACGUGCCAGCAGCCGCGGUAAUACGUAGGUGGCAAGCGUUGUCCGGAAUUAUUGGGCGUAAAGCGCGCGCAGGCGGUCCUUUAAGUCUGAUGUGAAAGCCCACGGCUCAACCGUGGAGGGUCAUUGGAAACUGGGGGACUUGAGUGCAGAAGAGGAAAGCGGAAUUCCACGUGUAGCGGUGAAAUGCGUAGAGAUGUGGAGGAACACCAGUGGCGAAGGCGGCUUUCUGGUCUGUAACUGACGCUGAGGCGCGAAAGCGUGGGGAGCAAACAGGAUUAGAUACCCUGGUAGUCCACGCCGUAAACGAUGAGUGCUAAGUGUUAGAGGGUUUCCGCCCUUUAGUGCUGCAGCUAACGCAUUAAGCACUCCGCCUGGGGAGUACGGCCGCAAGGCUGAAACUCAAGGAAUUGACGGGGCCCGCACAAGCGGUGGGAGCAUGUGGUUUAAUUCGAAGCAACGCGAAGAACCUUACCAGGUCUUGACAUCCUCUGACACUCCUAGAGAUAGGACUUUCCCCUUCGGGGACAGAGUGACAGUGUGCAUGUUGUCGUCAG
rnacentral:rRNA from 1 species